AACGAACGCUGGCGGCAUGCCUAACACAUGCAAGUCGAACGAGACCUUCGGGUCUAGUGGCGCACGGGUGCGUAACGCGUGGGAACCUGCCUUUAGGUUCGGAAUAACAGUGAGAAAUUACUGCUAAUACCGGAUAAUGUCCUCGGACCAAAGAUUUAUCGCCUUUAGAUUGGCCCGAGUAAGAUUAGCUAGGUGGUGGGGUAAAGGCCUACCAAGGCGACGAUCCUUAGCUGGUCUGAGAGGAUGAUCAGCCACACUGAGACUGAGACACGGCCCAGACUCCUACGGGAGGCAGCAGUGGGGAAUAUUGGACAAUGGGCGAAAGCCUGAUCCAGCAAUGCCGCGUGAGUGAUGAAGGCCUGAGGGUUGUAAAGCUCUUUUACCAGGGAUGAUAAUGACAGUACCUGGAGAAUAAGCUCCGGCUAACUCCGUGCCAGCAGCCGCAGUAA
rnacentral:rRNA from 1 species